GUGGGGAAUAUUGGGCAAUGGGCGAAAGCCUGACCCAGCAACGCCGCGUGAAGGAUGAAGGUCUUCGGAUUGUAAACUUCUUUGAUCAGGGACGAAACAAAUGACGGUACCUGAAGAACAAGCCACGGCUAACUACGUGCCAGCAGCCGCGGUAAUACGUAGGUGGCGAGCGUUAUCCGGAUUUACUGGGUGUAAAGGGCGUGUAGGCGGCUCUGCAAGUCAGAAGUGAAAUUCCCGGGCUUAACUUGGGCGCUGCUUCUGAAACUGCAGAACUUGAGUACUGGAGAGGAUAGUGGAAUUCCUAGUGUAGCGGUAAAAUGCGUAGAUAUUAGGAGGAACACCAGUGGCGAAGGCGGCUAUCUGGACAGUAACUGACGCUGAGGCGCGAAAGCGUGGGGAGCAAACAGG
rnacentral:rRNA from 1 species